rnacentral:rRNA from 1 species
UACGUAGGGGGCGAGCGUUGUCCGGAAUCAUUGGGCGUAAAGCGCGUGUAGGCGGCUCGGUAAGUCCGGUGUGAAACCUUGGGGCUCAACCCCAAGCCUGCACUGGAUACUGUCGAGCUUGAGUCCGGGAGGGGAGAGCGGAAUUCCUAGUGUAGCGGUGAAAUGCGCAGAUAUUAGGAAGAACACCGGUGGCGAAGGCGGCUCUCUGGAACGGUACUGACGCUGAGACGCGAAAGCGUGGGGAGCGAACCGG